UCGAACGUAGAUGAUGUAGGUGAAAGCUUACAUCUCUUCGGAGCAUUUUUACGAGGUGCUGCAUGGUUGUCGUCAGCUCGUGCCGUGAGGUGUCGGUUAAGUCCCAUAACGAGCGCAACCCUACCUUUAGUUGCCAUCAGGUAAUGCUGGGGACUCUAAAGGAACUGCCUACGCAAGUAGUGAGGAAGCGGGGAUGACGUCAAAUCAGCAGGCCCUUACGUCCAGGGCUACACACGUGCUACAAUGGCCGAUACAGAGGGCAGCUACCUGGUGACAGGAUGCAAAUCUCCAAAGUCGGUCUCAGUUCGGAUCGGAGUCUGCAACCCGACUCCGUGAAGUUGGAUUCGCUAGUAAUCGCGCAUCAGCCAUGGCGCGGUGAAUACGUUCCCGGGCCCUU
rnacentral:rRNA from 1 species